rnacentral:misc_RNA from 1 species
UCAGCAGACUUGCAUCGGGCCGCUGAUCUCCACGCAGGUUGAGGAAAUUCACCAGGGGAUUUUGAUGCAAUUCCGGACUGUUAACUUCGUCGCUGCCAAUGAAAUCAAAGGCCACGCCGGCGUUCAACAGGCUCCCUGCGAGCCCUAGGGCGUAGGGUUUGUCCGCCCCACCGGUCAGCACAGCCACCUGUGCAGUCACCGUUUCCGCCUUCUCGCAACCAGCCUCUGAAUAUUUGAUCACUGCGUCCAUCGCUGUCACCGAGUUCAUCCUUUGGCAACCGGCUUCGCUAACCGGUCAAUCGUCGCUUGAAACACCUCAUCCAAACCGAUAGCCGUGGUCGC